rnacentral:rRNA from 1 species
GUAUGGCCUACCAGGCGACGACGGGUAGCCGACCUGAGAGGGUGACCGGCCACACUGGGACUGAGACACGGCCCAGACUCCUACGGGAGGCAGCAGUGGGGAAUAUUGCACAAUGGGCGGAAGCCUGAUGCAGCGACGCCGCGUGAGGGAUGAAGGCCUUCGGGUUGUAAACCUCUUUCAGCAGGGACGAAGCGUGAGUGACGGUACCUGCAGAAGAAGCACCGGCUAACUACGUGCCAGCAGCCGCGGUAAUACGUAGGGUGCGAGCGUUGUCCGGAAUUACUGGGCGUAAAGAGUUCGUAGGCGGUCUGUCGCGUCGUUUGUGAAAACCCGGGGCUCAACUUCGGGCUUGCAGGCGAUACGGGCAGACUUGAGUGUUUCAGGGGAGACUGGAAUUCCUGGUGUAGCGGUGAAAUGCGCAGAUAUCAGGAGGAACACCGGUGGCGAAGGCGGGUCUCUGGGCCGAUACUGACGCUGAGGAGCGAAAGCGUGGGUAGCGAACAGGAUUAGAUACCCUGGUAGUCCACGCCGUAAACGGUGGGUACUAGG